AGAAAGCAAACCGCCGGGCUCCGGUCCGGUAAGGGUGAAAGGGUGCGGUAAGAGCGCACCGCGCGGCCGGUAACGGGCGCGGCAAGGCAAACCCCACCGGGAGCAAAACCGAAUAGGGGCGGCAUUUCAGGCCUGGCCUGAGAACCCGUUUCCGGGCGGCCGCCCGGGUUGGUUGCUCGAGGCGUCCGGUAACGGGCGUCCCAGAUGAAUGGCCAUCACCCGCAAGGGUACAGAACCCGGCUUACAGGCCAUCUGACACC
rnacentral:RNase_P_RNA from 1 species